rnacentral:rRNA from 1 species
AUGAUCCAGAUUCUAGCUACACCCUUUACUACAACAAUCUCAGGCUUUACUGAAAAGUGUACUGCUUAUAUAGUUGAUAUCUUUAAUUCAUAUGGUCGUCCGCUGGAUGAUCACUGGUCUUCGGUUCAUAUGGUCACUGGCUGGAAGCUUGCUGUUAUGUUUGCUUCAUAUGGUGGUCGACUGGAAGCUCGCGGUCUGAAUGAUCUCAUUGUCUAUGGCCGGCAAUACACACUUUUCAUUACUACCAGCCAGGGGUUCACGGGCCAUCAUGAUGAUAUACUUGGUUCUUUAAAGAAGAAUGAUAAGAACUAA